CAUGCAAGUUUAUGAGAAAAUCCUGGCUCGUCGGGAUGAGUAAAGUGGCGCACGGGUGAGUAACACGUAGGUAACCUGCCCUUGAGUUGGGAAUAAUUUUGCUAACGCGGAAUUAAUACCGAAUGAAGUUCUUUUUCCUCAUGUAAUAAGAAUUAAAGGUAGCCUCUACUUGUAAGUUACCGCUCAAGGAUGGACCUGCGUCCCAUUAGCUAGUUGGUAAGGUAGCAGCUUACCAAGGCAACGAUGGGUAGCCGGCCUGAGAGGGUGUCCGGCCACACUGGGACUGAGAUACGGCCCAGACUCCUACGGGAGGCAGCAGUGAGGAAUAUUGCGCAAUGGGCGAAAGCCUGACGCAGCAACGCCGUGUGAGGGAUGAAGGCCUUCGGGUUGUAAACUCCUGUCAGAGGAGAAGAAUCUCCGAGCAAUCGGAGUUGACGG
rnacentral:rRNA from 1 species